rnacentral:rRNA from 1 species
AACGAACGCUGGCGGCGUGCCUAACACAUGCAAGUCGAACGAACCCUUCGGGGCUAGUGGCGCACGGGUGCGUAACGGGUGGGAAUCUGCCCUGGACUUCUGAAUAACAUAUCGAAAUGUCGGCUAAUACCGGAUAAUGUCUUCGGAGCAAAGAUUUAUCGCCUUGGGAUGAGCCCGCGGAGUAUUAGGUAGUUGGUGGGGUAAAGGCAUACCAAGCCGACGAUCCUUAGCUGGUCUGAGAGGAUGACCAGCCACACUGGGACUGAGACACGGCACAGACUCCUACGGGAGGCAGCAGUAGGGAAUAUUGGACAAUGGGGGGAACCGUGAGCCAGCAAUGCCGUGUGAGUGAUAAAGGCCUUAGGGUUGUAAAGCUCUUUUCCCAGGGAUGAUAAGGACAGUACCUGGAGAAUAAGCUCCGGCUAACUCCGUGCCAGCCGCCGCAGUAACAC